UCGACCUCAAAAAUUCCAGGGGGUUUUUCCCGUAUUCCAGCGCAACGCCAAGAAAGGGGAUCCAGCCGUUCAUUAGCGGAGGUUCAUCCUGUUGCCUGUGGGGAUGAAGACAUUUAUGUCAAGCAGAGCUUCAAAACCAACAAGAUGCACAAAAAGAGUAUGAAGAUGUGGAUGCUUAAGGCGGCCAUGGUGAAGUGUUUCUUUCUCGGUUCACCAUCGCAGGGAUCUGACUGAACCUAGCGGGCUUCGCUCCUCCCAGCUAAUGGCAGAGGUGGUCUCAGGAAAGAAGUAGGAGUAUGAAAGCUGAAGAAAGACUCAUUCGGUAAUGCAGGGGGACACCCUGGACGGGAUGCCAGUCCAUCACAGGGCACGAGGCAGGGGGACACCCUGGGCGGGAUGCCAGUCCAUCGCAGGGUACGACCCUGGACGGGAUGCCAGUCCAUCAUAGGGCACGAGGCAGGGGUACGACCCUGGACGGGAUGCCAGUCCAUCAUAGGGCACGAGGCAGGGGGACACCCUGGACGGGAUGCCAGUCCAUCACAGGGCACGAGGCAGGGGGACACGCUGGACGGGCUGCCAAGCCAUCACAGGACGCACACUUCACAGCUAAAAAUUAUUGCCAGUGUGUGGCACAGUGGGACUGGUGUUUGGGUAUGUCUCUGCAAUCCAGAGACAGAGAUGGUUUGAUUCCUAUCCUUGCCAAAAUUGUUACACCUCUACUGGGCUCUUGAACAAGGCCCUUAACCCACCAAAAUGCUCCAAGGAUGCCCAAUAAAUGGCUAGCCUGUGCCCUGUGCUCAGACCCCAGGCUUCACUCUCAAAGGAGGGCAAGAUGGGAUAACUUAAAAGAAGCGUCUCAAUUGCAAAGAAAGCAAUUACUAUGCAUGCUUGUGGACCAUGAAAGUUCACUAUCAAUAUACACUAUAUGGUCAGAAGUAUGUGGACACAGUGUUGCCCAACACCAUAUUCUGAAACCAGUUGUGUUAAUAUGAGGUUGAUUGGCCCAUUGUCACUAUAGUAGCCUGUAUUCUUUUGGGAAGGCUUCCCAUUAGAUGCUGGAAUGGGAUUUAAUGCCAUUCAGGUUUCUGCGAGCUUGUAUUGAUGUUGGGUGAUCAGGUCCCUUUCUGUGAGCUUGUGUCUCCUACCACUGAACUUGCUCCCAGAUGUUUUGACCUUCUCAGUCACUUAAUUUGCAAUUGACCAGGGCACCGCUAGCAUGGCAGAAAUGUGGCAAACUGACAGAUGGUGCCCUGUGGCAGUGCCAAGUGGGAAGGUCACUGACCUAUUCUGUACAACAACUCGUUCUGCUUGCUAAUAUUUGUUGCAGCAAAUUGCUUUAUUGUGCGCUUAAUGAUACACCAGUGUCACCAAUGGGUUUGCCUUAAUUAAGCAAUUAAUAGUGAUGUCCACAUACUGGUGUCCAUAUUUUGCAGAAUCUCUCUGUCUUUAGUCGUCUUUACAUCUUAUUUGUAACGAUGCUCUGUCGCAUACUUGCAAAACUGCAUAGGCAGUUUGUGGUGACAUUGGGACACUUCUUACUUGCUUUGGGUGAUUGUAUACACAGUCUAACCAUUGCGUUAGAACUUUCUUUUGUUACACAACUGGCGAGAAGUUUCCUUACAAUAUUCUAUGUAAAACAGCCAAUGUUCUUUCAAAAGUCUAGAACAUGUCUGGCAUCUAAAGCAUUCUUAAAGAAUAAAU